rnacentral:rRNA from 1 species
CCCUACGGGACGCAGCAGUGGGGGAUAUUGCACAAUGGGGGAAACCCUGAUGCAGCGACGCCGCGUGAGUGAAGAAGUAUUUCGGUAUGUAAAGCUCUAUCAGCAGGGAAGAUAAUGACGGUACCUGAGUAAGAAGCCCCGGCUAACUACGUGCCAGCAGCCGCGGUAAUACGUAGGGGGCAAGCGUUAUCCGGAUUUACUGGGUGUAAAGGGAGCGCAGACGGCUGUGCAAGUCUGGAGUGAAAGGCGGGGGCCCAACCCCCGGACUGCUCUGGAAACUGUAAAGCUGGAGUGCAGGAGAGGUA